rnacentral:rRNA from 1 species
UACAGAGGGGGCAAGCGUUGUUCGGAAUUACUGGGCGUAAAGGGCGCGUAGGCGGCCGGCUAAGUCGAACGUGAAAUCCCCGGGCUCAACCCGGGAACUGCGUCCGAUACUGGCAGGCUUGAAUCCGGGAGAGGGAUGCGGAAUUCCAGGUGUAGCGGUGAAAUGCGUAGAUAUCUGGAGGAAUACCGGUGGCGAAGGCGGCAUCCUGGACCGACAUUGACGCUGAGGAGCGAAAGCUAGGGGAGCAAACGGG